CCCUUAGAUGUCCUGGGCCGCACGCGCGUUACACUGAUGCAUUCAACGAGCUUAUAACCUUGGCCGAGAGGCCUGGGCAAUCUUGUUAACGUGCAUCGUGAUAGGGAUAGAUUAUUGCAAUUAUUAAUCUUGAACGAGGAAUUCCUAGUAAACGCAGAUCAUCAAUCUGCAUUGAUUACGUCCCUGCCCUUUGUACACACCGCCCGUCGCACCUACCGAUUGAAUGGUCCGGUGAAGCCUCGGGAUUGUGGCGAGUUCCCUUUAUUGGGAGUUUGUCGCGAGAACUUGUCUAAACCUUAUCAUUUAGAGGAAGGUGAAGUCGUAACA
rnacentral:rRNA from 1 species